rnacentral:lncRNA from 1 species
AUGCUGUUGGCCAGAUUGACUAAACAUAUCGUCAUGGAGCUCAGAAGAUGCAAAACAGGUUCAAAAGACAAGUCAUGCCUUGGAUGUGCAGUGAUUGUAGACAACCUCCCUUGUGGAGCCCUUUGCCACAUAUGGAGCUAUGGUAAUGCAGAACAGGAUUGUUGUCUUCUGCUAAAACUCUUUCAGCAAGUCGUCCUGAUCCCUUUCUGCCUCUGCUUGGGGGAAUCAUACAGAAGAGGUUACAGAAGUCAAUACACACUGGAUCAGCACUUGAAUGGGGAUGACAAGAGACAUGAAGAAAAACCCCAUGUCGCUUUAACACAACCUUCACCCAGCGAGCUCUGUCUUGUUUCCAUAAUAGAGGCUACGGGAGGCACAUCCCAUACCUGCUGCACGUUGCUGCAAUUCAAUUUAAUACCGCUCCUGUCCCUCACUUACUUUGGUGAACACAAACAGCUAUUGCAAAUGUCAGGUCCAAUUUGCUUUCAUCCAGAAUGGUGUUUAUUUUAUUAAAUGAGUGUGCCUACAUCUUUCCUAGUUCUAAUGUGUUUUUUUUUCUGCUUUUUUUUUUUUUUUUUUUUUUUUUUUCCCCCUUAUCAAACACAAAUGACCAGAGUUUUAAAAGGCACUGGAGAUGAAAGGGAAGCUGUUCUCUGAUGCUGCACUACCAUGUUUGUGCAGCAGCUCCAUGGUGUGUAACAACAGUCACUCUGUGGGUCCCAGGCUGGAGAGGCAUUGCCAGGGAACCACUUUUUUGUUGGAUGCAGCCAUGGCACUUGGAGAUUUCCCUGAGAGGAGGAUGGGGCUGUGUUAGAUGGUGGAGCACAAGCAGCUGGACUGAACCUGCUGUGACGUGGGAGGUGGCCCAAACUGGCAAACCAGGUUCAUGGCAACAAACUGCAACCACUUGCACAGGAUUUAGUAUCAUAAGAUGUGCCUAAUGUCUAAGAAAGCAUAGGCUAUAAUUUCUUCCACA